rnacentral:rRNA from 1 species
UACGGAGGGUGCAAGCGUUGUCCGGAUUUAUUGGGUUUAAAGGGUGCGUAGGCGGCCUUUUAAGUCAGUGGUGAAAGCCCGCGGCUCAACCGCGGAACUGUCAUUGAUACUGGAAGGCUUGAGUACAGACGAGGUGGGCGGAAUUGAAGAUGUAGCGGUGAAAUGCUUAGAUAUCUUCAAGAACACCGAUUGCGUAGGCAGCUUACUAGGCUGUAACUGACGCUGAGGCACGAAAGCGUGGGGAGCGAACAGG